rnacentral:lncRNA from 1 species
CCCUUCCCAAUUUUGAGGUGGAGAAAAGGAAUUCUAACACCUGAAGCAAAUUCAGUUGAAGCUGGACAAGGAGAGAUUAAGUCAAAGAGUUCUUCAAAUGGAGAAGAAUGAUUGCCUUUCAGAACAUGACAGAGAGGAUUUCUGUUCAAGUGAAGACAUUGAAUUGGAUGAUUUCCAAGGCCCUUCCAACUUUUAGAUUAUAGGGCUCUAGAAGAUAAGGACUCUGUAUAUUUGUGCAUGGAUGCAUGUAGAUGUGUGUGCAUGUGUGUAUGGGCUUAUUGCUCACUGAAGACCAACUUUCCUGUGUGUCUUGGCAAAAUUCCAGAGCCACUAUGAAUCAAGAAGGCUUGGAAAUGCUAGAUAAAAGAAUGAAGAGAAAAAUCUAAUGAAUUUUCUAGAGACACCUCAAACUAUUUAUUUACAAUGAACCUUUUAUUUUGGACUUGAGGUGUGGAGAUCCAUAUUUGCUCUUGGAGCCAAAGGUGACAGCUGGGACUACAGUCUCUUUCCCAUCUGUCUGGCAUGGAGAUGUUCUCCCAGAUGUGGGCUUCAGCCCAGUCAUCCACACCCUCAUUAACUAUGGUUAUGCAAUCUACACAUGACUAUCUUUUAGUACAUCCUUUAAAAAUACGUUAAAAUGCCAUCAAAGUUAAAAGACUUGCUUUCUUCUUUCCUUUAAUUCUUUGUACACUGGUUUCGGGAGAAAGCUGUUUUGCAAAUAAGUUUAUUUGAAUCUUUGUUGGGAAGUAUUUGUUGCAUUAAAAUAAAAAGUAUUAAUCCUUUUUAAAAAGAAGAUAAAAAUUCAUUACAAUAUAAAUUAUAUAUUCUAAUUAUUUUCAUGUCUUGCCAUUGGAGGUUUAGAAUGAUAACAGAUCUCCUAAAUGAAGUCCAUGUGCAUUCAAAAGAGGAUAGUCUCACAACCCACAGAACAACAACUAAAUGGAUAAAGACUGCACAUUGCCAAAGACUUCCACAUUUGUGGAAGACCAUUGACUUUCCUCUCUGGUUUAUGUAUUUCAGAUAGGCACUGGAGAUGGACAAGCAGGACGCAGAACUGAACUGGAGGCCAAAAAAAUUAAUCUGUAUUGCAUUUGGGACAAGAUGGAGUACUUUUAGUUACCACAAGUUGCUUCUUGCCAUCAAGGGCCAUAUCAUAAAACAGGAACAUUCUCCUGGCAGGGCUGUGGGUUGCAACUGAUGGAAUCAAGAUUGUGGUGACCUGAGGCGCAAUGGACUCUUGGAGAUUUUAACUAGACUGCAGUAUGUUAUAUUACCUCUAAUAAUUUUGGGGUGAAGCAUGAUAGAUGAGGGCAUUUAGGUGACAUGGUGGAUAGAAUGUUGGGCCUGGAAUCAGGAAACCUUUGUGAGUUCAAAUCUGAACUCAGACAACUUAAUAGAUGCAUGACUCUGGGCACAUCACUAGACACUGUUUGCCUCAUUUUCCUCAUCUGUAAAAUUGUUUGCAGAAGGAAGUGACAAAUUAUUCCAAUAUCUUUGCUAAGAAAACCUCAAACUGAGUCAAGAAGAAUCCAACAUGACUCAAAAUGACUCAACAAUGACAUGACCGAAAAAGCUAGGACACUAUAAUGGGAGGAUGAAGUGGACUGCUCAUUUAGUUAAAAAUGGGUGAUGACCACUGGGAAGCUGGAAUGUUGCAUAGGCACAUUUGAGACUUCAGAGAUCUGUGAUUUUAUCAAUUAGGAUGCUCACUUUAGCAAUACAGAUUAUAACCAAACUAUAUCUUUCAUUCUCUAUCAUUCUUAUUAAUACCCUCACAGAAAUCCUUUAUGGAGAAUCUACAAUAGGCAAGAAACUUCUAGGUAUUUUAAGAUGUCUUGGGCAUGAAGGCAGUGUCCAGGGCUCCAUUUAUUUUCCUUUUUUUUCUUAUUAUGUGACUGGUGCACCUCUUUUUCCAGUGAUAUUCUUUAUAUGUUUCAUACCAUUUAUAAAAAAAUCAUGUAGUGACCAGAACUCCAAAUCAAAUAUCUAGUAAACAUAUCCAUACCCAAGAGUACCUUAAUGUGCGGCUAUAUGGCAUAAUGGAUAGAAUGCUAGACCUGGAGUCAAGAAGAAUUAAGUUUAGCUCUACUUCCAGACACUAUUUGUAUUACCCUGGGCAAAUAUUUAACUUUACUUGGAUUCAGUUUUCUCAUCUAUAAAAUGGGAAUAAUAAUAGUAAUAAUAGGACCUUCCACCUAGAGUUUUUGAGGAGCAAAUGAGACAAUAUUAAUAAAUCACUUUGAAAAAAUUACAAUUCUAUACAGAUGUUAUAUAUAUUAUUAUAGUUAUUAUUAAAUGUAUUUUUGCAUCUCAUUUCAAAAAUCUGUUCAUUUAAAAAUAAGUUUAGCUUUUUGGUUUCAUCAGUUUUUUGAUGAACAAAAAUAAUGGUCUAUAUGAUUAAGUAUUUAAUAAAUAUUUAUUUUUUAAAAAGAUAAAAACCAAAAUGGCAUAGAGUACCCUACUUUGAGCCUGGAAGAACUGAAAUUAAAACCUACUUCAGAUUUUUACUAGUUGUGUGAUCCUGGGAAAGUCACAUAACCUUUCUGUGACUCAGAUUUCCUAUCUGUAAUACGAUGGUGUUGGAUUUAGUGGUUUAUUUGGAUUUUUUUUUUUGUAAUGCAGUUAGGGUUAGGGGACUUGCCUAGGAUCAUACAGCUAGUAAGUAUUAAGUAUCUCAGGAUGUAUUUGAACUCAGGUCCUGAUGAUUUCAUGGUCGGUGUUCUAUUCAUUGUCAUCCAGCUUCCCUAGACUUAAUGAUUUUUAAAGUUCAUCUUUGUUUAUAACAUACACUAAUGCAAUGUCUUGUGCAUGCCCAUAAUAAUUGGAGAAACUAAAAUAAUCUCAGUCAUAACAUUUUUUUUUUUUUGCUGAGGCAAUUGGGAUGAAGUGACUUGCCCAGGAUCACACAGCUAGGACGUAUUAAGUGUCUGAGACCAGAUUUGAACUCAGGUCCUCCUGAGUCAUAACAUUCUUGCUAAAUGAAGUCAGAAGUCAAAAUGAAACUGCAGCUAAAUGCAAGGGGGCUUACAGAUUCUCCUUAAAAAUAUCAAAUAAAGGAGGUGGUUUUAUCAUGCCUCCAAAGGCAAGAAGAAGCCUAAUAUCUUGGGACUUCAAUAAAUAAAGGGCUUGCUUAGAGUCAAGAGACAUGAGUUCAGAUCUAAACUCAAGAUACUGUCUACCUGUAGAAUCCUGGGUAAGUCAUUUAAUCUUUGUUUGCCUCAAUUUCCUCUUCUGUAAAACAGGUAUUAUAGUAAUAGCCCCUAUCUCCCAAUAUUGAAGAUCAAAUGAGAAAAUGAUUGUAAAGCCCUUAGCACAGGUCUUAGUACAUAACAAGUGCUAUAUAAAGUUAAUGAUUAUUAUGUAUUACUAAUUGUUAUUAAUAUCCUUUAUACUGUUUCUUGUGUGGUCAUCAUUGGAUAAUAUGACAUACAAAUAAGACAUGGGCAAUAAAUAUUACUUAUAUAUUUGGUUUUUAUGUAUGUAUUGAUAGACUUAUCUGUUUCUGAGUCAUGGCUAGAAUGCUAGAUUUAGUGCUGAGGAAAGCUAGGUAGCCCAGUGAAUAGAGAGAAGGGCCUGGAGUCAGGAAGACUUAUCUUUCUGAGUUCAACUCUUACCUCAGUCACUUAGUAACUCUAUGACCCUUGGAAAGUCAUUUAACCCAUUGACCUCAGUUUCCCCAUCUAUAAAACGAUCUAGAUAAAGAAAUGAAAAACCAUUCCAAUAUUUUUGCCAAGAGAGCCCCAAUGGAAUCAUGGAAAGCCAGACAUAAUUGAAAAGCUACUGAAUAAGAAGAGGACACAGAGAGGUGGUCUUUUAGAUGAACUGUUCUUUUUACAGAGAAAGAAA